rnacentral:tRNA from 1 species
GGGAUAUAGCUCAGUUGGUAGAGUGUUUACCUCGCAUGUACAAGGCCCUUGGUACAAUCACCAGUACCACAAAAAAAAUAAAGUAAAAUAAAAAAUAAAAAGGGCUGGUGAUGUGACUCAGUGAUUAAGUACCCCUGGGUUCAAUUCCUAGUACCCA